UUCCUGCAGCUGCCUACCCAGAGGAAAAAGGAAUUAGAUAAAGUGAAAGGUAUUUCUCAGAGAUGCACCCAAAGCUGCUUCUGUUUCCUUGUAUCCUUUUUAAGGGUCCAGUUUUUAGGACAAUAUGAUCCAAAGUGACUAAAGGGAAUUAACUACGUCCUUGAGGAAUUCCUACUAGGUCAGGGCCAGAAGCGCUCGUCUAGCCAUAUGUGGAAGAUCCUCAAGUUGUGAGAUCAGUGGUUGGCAUGCUUCUCCACUUCUGGAAGCCGGGCAUGGCUAACCAACCUGGGAUUUCUACCAGGGGACUUUGACAGACGAAACAGUCCAGGUGAGCUCUGGAGCUUCAGAAGAAACUGGCCUUGGUUUGUUAGAUUAAAGUUUUGGUUGCACAUCCUAUUUGAUCAACCCCUCAAUCUGUUGACUAUGUUGACUGUUUUACAAAUAAUACUCCAGUGUGUGUAGAAGAGACCUGAGGAUGUGAGGGAGAGAAAAGAAAGCUCAGAGUUGAGUGCACAUGAUUUGCUACACGUAUGGAUCAUACUGAAGAGAAGAAGUUGCUAAAAGCAAGCAAGAAGGAGCUAGGAAGAAAACAGGGUGUUUGGGAGACAAGAGCAGGCAUUUGCUGAAAACUGACAUUGUAGUUUCUGGCUGAAGUCACAGCUCUGCAAAUUAUUUCCAACAUGUAUGCAGUCUUUUAAAAAAGGUGUCAAGCAAGGGUCACCAUGAUGAGCAUUUGUCUGAGUUUCUAUAGCUAAUGGACAUUUUUGUUUUCUUUGAAGAGGUAAAAGAACAAAGGGAGAUGAAGAUUGUGAUCCACAGCCCAGAGAGAUUCUGCUAUUGGCUAUUUCCAUAGAUGUCUGUGAAUUUUUUCUAUCCAUGCAGGAGAUGACUAAUAAAAUCAUACAAAUAUAUCAGUGAGCCCUCUAUAAGUUUUGGCUAUUAUUAAAUGUCUCCUGAAAGCCAUCAGUGUUAAUGAAUUCAAGAGGUAGAUACAGUCCUUAUUGGCAACCUAAAUAAAUAAGGAUGCCCAAAGGGAGAAGGGUGGGAAUUACCCAUGUAGACAUGAUCAGCUCCAGGGAGAAAAGUCAAAGCAUAUUUUUCUGUCACAAACUUUCUGAAGCUUUGGUUAAUUUGUGAAACUGGGUUUGGUGUUUCUAUAGAAAGGUAGGGAGUUUUUUUACUAAAGACAAUAAAUAUGCAAGUGGGAGUCCUUCACUCAUUCCAAAUGCUUCAGAACGUCUGGUUAAAAUAUGCCCAAAAUGUUAAAAGUAUAUUUUACUAAGCAUGGGAUCAAGAAAAGGAAAUGGUCAAGCUGUAAAAGGAAAGGACACACUCAGAGGUGAAUAAAAGUAGUGCUGUGCGUAAAGUUAAGAUCUAAAUACACACUAUGUAUAAUAUGACCUGUUAUAGUUUAGAUCUAGGAGUCACCCAAAUCCUCAUUCUCUCAGAAGUGGGACCUUUGAAUGAUGAUUGGAUUAUGGGGACAUUAUAGCUGACCUGCUGUUGGGAGGUGAGAGCUGGUUGGAAGAGGAGGGUCACUAUGGGUGAGACCUAGAAGAUUGUAUCUCCUUCCUGGCUCCUCUUUGACUCUCUGCUUUCUGUCUGACAUGAUGAGCAGCUCUCCUCUGCCAUGCCCCUCUCCCAUGCUGUCUUGCAUUGGAGCCAUUGGGCUCUGGACUGAAACAUGGCCCAAAAUAAACCUCUCCUCACUUAAGUGGUAGGUAUCUUGUAUUUUGUCUCGGUAAUGAAGGAACUGACUCAAGCAGAGUGUGUGUGUGUGUGUGUGUGUGUGUGUGUGUGUAUAAUAUAUAUAUAUUUCCCCUCAGGGGAAAUUUCCAAGCUCCAAAAGCCAAAGGAAAACUCAGAGUCAAAGGGAAAAAAUAGUUGUGCUGUGAAUAAGGUAGAUUUAAAUUCAUAUUAUCAGUGAACUAACUCAGGGUAUGAUUUCAGUUUUUUUUAAAAAAGCUUGUGCAACUUUGAUGCAAAAAGUUGGACCAUUGUAUCUGUGGGCUCUACAUCCUUGGAUUCGAUCAAUUGAGGACUGAAAAUAUUUGAAAAAGAAGUUAAUGUAGUUGAUGAUGUGUGCUACGUGGCCUGAAAGACAUGAAUUUCCUUUCAUGGGUGGAAAUAAAAAUGGCUGAAAAACAGAUACACAUGGCCUUUUGAUGGAAUCAAGAGGGGCAGUAAAUAGGACAUAUGAAGCUGCAGCCAGGUUUGUAUGAGUGCAUUCUUUGAUGUUCACACAACAUUGUCUCACAGUGCAUUUCUUGGAAUGUGUUCCUAAUGGUUAAGUGACAUAUAACUGCUUUAGUGGUUUAUCCUCACAGUCAUCUUAUAAAGUGAAUAUUAUUACUGUCAUAAUUAAAACUGAGGAGCACAGAAUUAAGGUAUUUGCUUAGAUGACCUUAGAAUUAAGGUCAUCUACUGGUAGGAGGUAGAUUUGGGAUUCGAACAUAAGCAAUCUGCUUUCAGAGUUCACAUUCACAGUCGUUAUGCUAUAAUGCAUCUUGC